rnacentral:tRNA from 1 species
CGCGGAGUAGAGCAGUGGUAGCUCGUCGGGCUCAUAACCCGGAGGUCGCAGGUUCGAAUCCUGCCUCCGCAA